UAACCAUCUUCCACCACCAGGUGCUGCCUGGGUUUGUGAAUUGAGGAUGCGACAGGUGUGGCUCGUUCCGGUGAUCACUGGAGGAGUAUAAGAGGACGGAUUGCCAGCACUUCUUUGCCUGAGUGUUUUGCCCUUCAGCGGAUUCAGACCGAGCCACGCUCCUUGGUGGUGACAGACCACUUCCGAACCUGAAGAAACUCUGGAUCAAGCCCCAGCUAGCGAUCCACCUCACUCGGUGCUCCUAAUUCGUUUAUGCACGUCCUGUCCACCCUCCAGUGGUUCCGCUCCAGGCGGUCCUCUGAGCAGCCUUUCCACGGUCUCCACACUCAUCAGCCAUCUCGCUGGCGGAUCUGGCUUCCCCCGCAGACUAAGAGGGCAACAUGGAAAAAGUAGCAGAUGACAAAGGAAAAAUACCAGGCAGGGGGCAACUGCUUAGUGUCACCUGGUGUGUCACCAGCAGUUCCCCAUAAAAGUGGCUCUUCUGCGUCAUGACUGGCUCUCUGACCUCCACAGGGUGAUGAAGGUAUCAAACAGCAGGAGAUAAAUGUGCAACAAGCUAUAAAUUUUCUGCUCACUGCCAUCUAUUCAACACCUAAAGCCUCAGUAUGGAUUAAUAUAUUUCCAGAAAACAAUGCCUAUUUUUUUCUGUGAUGUAACUGUUAAAAACUGCUUUAAUUUUAGCAAAGAUUUAUGAAUCAGAAAAGAUCCAGUUAGUCACAAACUCCAGUCAUGUAUGUAAAUAGUUACAUUUCAUAUGUAGUUGCAUGCCUUUUGAUUCUGGCUUUGUUUUUAAUUUUUACUUUGGUCAUGAAGUGUCAACAGUUGCUAUGAAUAGGCUGCAAAACAUAGACCUAAUGAGUUAUAAUUGCAUGAAUAAAGCGUUGCCUUCAGUGGAUUGGCAGUGGUGCAAAAAUCUGAGGUGCCAUCAAAAUUG